GUCCCGGUAUCUUAUGGUUAAAGAGUUACUGUGAAGUAGUAAAUAAGGGAGUCUCCCCUUGGACA
rnacentral:tRNA from 1 species